UUUUGACCUCAAAUCAGGUAGGACUACCCGCUGAACUU
rnacentral:rRNA from 4 species